AGAGCGAACGCUGGCGGCAGGCUUAACACAUGCAAGUCGAGCGGGCGUAGCAAUACGUCAGCGGCAGACGGGUGAGUAACGCGUGGGAACAUACCUUUUGGUUCGGAACAACACAGGGAAACUUGUGCUAAUACCGGAUAAGCCCUUACGGGGAAAGAUUUAUCGCCGAAAGAUUGGCCCGCGUCUGAUUAGCUAGUUGGUGAGGUAACGGCUCACCAAGGCGACGAUCAGUAGCUGGUCUGAGAGGAUGAUCAGCCACAUUGGGACUGAGACACGGCCCAAACUCCUACGGGAGGCAGCAGUGGGGAAUAUUGGACAAUGGGCGCAAGCCUGAUCCAGCCAUGCCGCGUGAGUGAUGAAGGCCCUAGGGUUGUAAAGCUCUUUUGUGCGGGAAGAUAAUGACGGUACCGCAAGAAUAACGCCCGGCUAACGUUCGCGCCAGCAGUCGC
rnacentral:rRNA from 1 species